AUGAUCCCAUUGCAGUGCAAGGGACGAACGGUGAUCGCGUUACCGGUCGGUGUCGUCGGUCGGUCAGACAAGCUGGCACGAAGUGGAUCGCGCGGUCGCGAAAGAGUCUUCUCGUUAAAACGUACUACACGCGUUCACAGAAAAGAAAAGAAAAAUAAAAACAUACACCGCCGGUACAGAAGCAGUACACAACACGCCAACGCCAUCGCCGCUUUGCCGCCGGUACAGAGUCCGUCCGUUACUUCACCUUGCCGAGCGUCGCCUUCUUCCACGUGGCGGCGACUUCCUCCAGCGCCCGGCGGGACGACCCUUCCGGCGACCACGCGCGCGCCGCCGCCUGCUGCAGGUCCCCGGCCUGCCGCCGUACGGCGCGCCCCUUCUCCGCGCUCUCCAUCAGCUCCUUCACCGCGCCCGCGAUCUCGUCGCGCGCCACCACGCCGUCGGCCUCCCGCGGACGCAGCGGCAGCGCCACCCCGACGCUCCCUACCAGGGCCACGGCGUUCAUCCGCUGCUCCGCGUACAGCGGCCACGCCACCAUCGGCACGCCUGCCGACACGCUCUCCAGCGUGGAGUUCCAGCCGCAGUGCGACACGAAUACCGCCGUCGCCGGGUGGGACAGUACGCGCACCUGAGGCGCCCACGCCGCCACGGCCAGCCCCUUGUCCGCCGUCCUCUCCAGGAAGCCAUCCGGAAGCCAGGCCAACGGGUUUGGGUUGUCGUCGUCACGGUCACGGCCGUCGUUGCCACCGUCCAGAUUUGGCAUCCUCACGACCCAGAGGAACCGGUGGCCGCUCGCUUCCAGCCCAGCGGCGAGCUCGGCCGUCUGCUCCACGGUCAGCGACCCGCCGCUCCCGAAGGAGACGUACACUACGGAUCCGGUCGGCUGGAGAUCGAGCCAGUCUAGGCACGCGGACGCGCCGGCGGCUUCGUCGGAGCUUGUGCCCGGCCGGACGAACGGCCCAACUGGGAACACGGGCGGGAACGCGCCUCGCUUCGCCGCCAGCUUGA
rnacentral:rRNA from 1 species